UACGUAGGGGGCAAGCGUUGUCCGGAAUCAUUGGGCGUAAAGCGCGCGUAGGCGGCUAGAUCAGUCUGCUGUAAAAGUCCAAGGCUCAACCUUUGAAAGCCGGUGGAUACUGUCUAGCUAGAGUCCGGAAGAGGCGAGUGGAAUUCCUGGUGUAGCGGUGGAAUGCGCAGAUAUCAGGAGGAACACCAGCGGCGAAGGCAGCUCGCUGGGACGGUACUGACGCUAAGGCGCGAAAGCGUGGGGAGCGAACAGG
rnacentral:rRNA from 1 species